rnacentral:rRNA from 1 species
UAGGGAAUCUUCGGCAAUGGACGAAAGUCUGACCGAGCAACGCCGCGUGAGUGAAGAAGGCUUUAGGAUCGUAAAACUCUGUUGUUAGAGAAGAACAAGGACGCUAGUACCUGAACGUCCCCUGCCGGUAUCUAACCAGAAAGCCACGGCUAACUACGUGCCAGCAGGCGCGGUAAUACGUAGGUGGCAAGCGAUGUCUGGAUUUAUUGGGCGUAAAGCGAGCGCAGGCGGUUUCUUAAGUCUGAUGUGAAAGCCCCCGGCUCAAUCGAAGAGGGUCGUUAGAAACUGGAAGGCUUGAGUGCAGAGGAGGAGGGUGGAAUUCCAUGUCUAGCAGUGAAAUGCGUAGAUAUAUGGAGGAACACCAGUGGCGAAGGCGGCUCUCUGGACUGUAACUGACGCUGAGGCUCGAAAGCGUGGGGAGCAAACAGG